rnacentral:tRNA from 1 species
GGUCUAUUAGCUCAGCCGGUAGAGAACCUGACUUUUAAUCAGGGUGUCCCGCGUUCGAGUCGCGGAUAGAGCACCC